rfam:Virgibacillus sp. SK37, complete genome.
CUCAAAGGAACUUCUGUUAAGUACCGUCACCUCCUGGGACUGCGAUUACUCGUCCCAUCUAAAACAUUUGUGACGAACACAGAAGCCACCACAUCCUGUGGA